UGGUGGGUAGCUCAACAGGCAGAGCAGCGGACUGUUAAUCCGCCGGUUGCAGGUUCGAAUCCUGCCCCAUCAG
rnacentral:tRNA from 1 species